AAUUGCAAGAGGAGGCGAAAGCUGUUACCCCUGGAAUUCUCACACGCUUUGAAAAACUUCUUAAGGCCAAUAUAAUGAUGGGAAAGGAUUCUUUGUUGGUGACAAGGCAAGAUUUCCAAAGUCACCAUGUGAGAGACGAGUCGGCUAAUUGAAUGCAAAUCCGGAAUAAGUGGAGAUUUGUCACGGUAA